rnacentral:rRNA from 1 species
UAAUGACUCUCGGCAACGGAUAUCUCGGCUCUCGCAUCGAUGAAGAACGUAGCGAAAUGCGAUACUUGGUGUGAAUUGCAGAAUCCCGUGAACCAUCGAGUCUUUGAACGCAAGUUGCGCCCGAAGCCACUAGGUCGAGGGCACGUCUGCCUGGGCGUCUCACA